rnacentral:rRNA from 1 species
UCCCUACGGGGCGCAGCAGUGGGGGAUAUUGCACAAUGGGCGAAAGCCUGAUGCAGCAACGCCGCGUGAAGGAAGAAGGCCUUCGGGUCGUAAACUUCUGUCCUUGGGGAAGAAGAACUGACGGUACCCAAGGAGGAAGCCCCGGCUAACUACGUGCCAGCAGCCGCGGUAAUACGUAGGGGGCAAGCGUUAUCCGGAAUUAUUGGGCGUAAAGAGUACGUAGGCGGCCUGGUAAGUCUGGAGUGAAAGUCCUUCUUUUAAUGAGGGAAUUGCUUUGGAUACUGCUGGGCUUGAGUGCAGGAGAG